UACGUAGGUCGCAAGCGUUGUCCGGAUUUACUGGGCGUAAAGAGCGCGCAGGCGGCUGGUCAAGUCCGAUGUGAAAUCUCCCGGCUCAACUGGGAAACUGCAUCGGAAACUGAUCGGCUUGAAGAUGGGAGAGGGUAGUGGAAUUCCCGGUGUAGUGGUGAAAUGCGUAGAUAUCGGGAGGAACACCAGCGGCGAAGGCGGCCUUCUGGACGGUGACUGACGCUGAGACGCGAAAGCGUGGGGAGCAAACAGG
rnacentral:rRNA from 1 species